rnacentral:rRNA from 1 species
UCCAGACUCCUACGGGAGGCAGCAGUGGGGAAUAUUGCACAAUGGGGGAAACCCUGAUGCAGCAACGCCGCGUGAGUGAGGAAGUAUUUCGGUAUGUAAAGCUCUCUCAGCAGGGAAGAAGAUGACGGUACCUGACCAAGAAGCUCCGGCUAAAUACGUGCCAGCAGCCGCGGUAAUACGUAUGGAGCAAGCGUUAUCCGGAUUUACUGGGUGUAAAGGGAGCGCAGGCGGCCUUGCAAGUCUGAUGUGAAAGGCCGGGGCCCAACCCCGGGACUGCAUUGGAAACUGCGAGGCUGGAGUGUCGGAGAGGCAGGCGGAAUUCCUGGUGUAGCGGUGAAAUGCGUAGAUAUACGGAGGAACACCAGUGGCGAAGGCGGAUUGCUGGACAGUAACUGACGCUGAGGCGCGAAAGCGUGGGGAGCAAACAGGAUUAGAUACCCCAGUA